rnacentral:rRNA from 1 species
UACAGAGGGUGCAAGCGUUGUUCGGAAUUAUUGGGCGUAAAGCGCGUGUAGGCGGCUUUGCAAGUCGGGUGUGAAAGCCCUCAGCUCAACUGAGGAAGUGCGCCCGAAACUGCAGAGCUUGAGUGCCGGAGAGGGUGGCGGAAUUCCCAGUGUAGCGGUGAAAUGCGUAGAUAUUGGGAGGAACACCAGUGGCGAAGGCGGCUACCUGGACCGGUUCUGACGCUGAGGCGCGAAAGCGUGGGUAGCAAACAGG